rnacentral:rRNA from 1 species
UACGUAGGGCGCAAGCGUUAUCCGGAAUUAUUGGGCGUAAAGAGCGCGUAGGCGGUCCGAUAAGUCGGCUGUGAAAGUCAGGGGCUCAACCCUUGAAAGCCGGCCGAUACUGUCGGACUAGAGUCCGGAAGAGGCAAGUGGAAUUCCCGGUGUAGCGGUGAAAUGCGUAGAUAUCGAGAGGAACACCUGCGGCGAAGGCGGGUUGCUGGGCCGACACUGACGCUGAUGCGCGAAAGCCAGGGGAGCGAACGGG